CAGUAGCCGCGGUAAUACGAAGGGGGCUAGCGUUGUUCGGAUUUACUGGGCGUAAAGCGCACGUAGGCGGAUUCUUAAGUCAGAGGUGAAAUCCCAAGGCUCAACCUUGGAACUGCCUUUGAUACUGGGGAUCUCGAGUCCGGGAGAGGUGAGUGGAACUGCGAGUGUAGAGGUGAAAUUCGUAGAUAUUCGCAAGAACACCAGUGGCGAAGGCGGCUCACUGGCCCGGUACUGACGCUGAGGUGCGAAAGCGUGGGGAGCAAACAGGAUUAGAUACCCCGGUAGUCCCUGUCUCUUAUAC
rnacentral:rRNA from 1 species